AUACGUAGGUGGCAAGCGUUGUCCGGAAUUACUGGGUGUAAAGGGAGCGCAGGCGGGGAGACAAGUCAGCUGUGAAAUGUAUGGGCUUAACCCAUAAAUUGCAGUUGAAACUGUUUUCUUGAGUGGAGUAGAGGUAGGCGGAAUUCCGAGUGUAGCGGUGAAAUGCGUAGAUAUUGGGAGGAACACCAGUGGCGAAGGCGCCUUUCUGGACUGUGUCUGACGCUGAGAUGCGAAAGCCAGGGUAGC
rnacentral:rRNA from 1 species